rnacentral:rRNA from 1 species
GACGAACGCUGGCGGCGUGCUUAACACAUGCAAGUCGAACGGAAAGGCCCUGCUUUUGUGGGGUGUUCGAGUGGCGAACGGGUGAGUAACACGUGAGUAACCUGCCCUUGACUUUGGGAUAACUUCAGGAAACUGGGGCUAAUACCGGAUAGGAGCUCCUGCUGCAUGGUGGGGGUUGGAAAGUUUCGGCGGUUGGGGAUGGACUCGCGGCUUAUCAGCUUGUUGGUGGGGUAGUGGCUUACCAAGGCUUUGACGGGUAGCCGGCCUGAGAGGGUGACCGGCCACAUUGGGACUGAGAUACGGCCCAGACUCCUACGGGAGGCAGCAGUGGGGAAUAUUGCACAAUGGGCGGAAGCCUGAUGCAGCAACGCCGCGUGCGGGAUGACGGCCUUCGGGUUGUAAACCGCUUUCGCCUGUGGCGAAGCGUGAGUGACGGUAAUGGGUAAAGAAGCACCGGCUAACUACGUG